UUUUUUUUCCUCAGUUAAAUACAACCCAUUGCUGUGAUUUUAUCUAACCUGCUCUCAGAAGGGUUGUAGUGGUGUGGCCCUCCACAGAGCUAUCAUUGUUAAAGGACUGAAGAGGACACACAGACAACAUAAACAGAAGUGAACCAUGUUCUCUGGGACUCUUGUGGUGAUAUUGCUGGUCCUCCUCCUGUGUAGACGGGUUUUAUGGCAAGGAUUAUGCAUUUAUAUUUUUCACAAAUUAUUCAAGAAAUCUGCGCAAACUAGAGAAACUGAAGCAGGAAAAACCCUGAAAAAGUGAUAUGUAAUGGUAUACCUUAAAAAUUAUGAGGCCAUUCUACAUAUGCAAUAAUAUGAGUUAUCUAAAUAACAGUGCUGAGAUGGGAAGGGCAUGUAGUACCCACAAGCUGCAUGCACACCUGGAUCGAGAAUCUUUGUUCAUCUUAAAAUUAUCAAUUUGUUUUGUUUUUUUUUAGGAAUAAAAUGAUUAAAGAAAAGCUGUUUUUUUAUGAUUUUUAUAUACACAUUGCUAUGUGCUCAUUAAGGAGUUGGCCCUCCAUGUAAUAAGGGUCAAAGGCUUCGAUUCAGUGCUAAUUCAGUGCAGAGGGUUUUGCAAACAGGCUUACGUAUCAUAACUGGUUAAAGUCAGGAUAAUAUUUUCUGGGCCAAGGGAGUCAGAACAGAAUGUCCCAAACUUGAAUAAUAAUCAGAAAAGAAGAUUAAUUAAUAAGCAAGGCUAGAUGAGGGAGGUGUUUUUUGCAGUCUU
ensembl:lncRNA